AGCUUUGUGCAGUGGCAGUAUAGUAGCCAAUAAGGUACACCCGAGGCACGAUUAAUGUUAAUUGAAUACUUAUUAUGUGCCAGCAGUGUUCUUUACAUGUAUUUAUUAAUU
rnacentral:snRNA from 1 species